GACGAACGCUGGCGGCGUGCUUAACACAUGCAAGUCGAGCGGAAAGGCCACUUCGGUGGUACUCGAGCGGCGAACGGGUGAGUAACACGUGAGUAAUCUGCCCCCUGGCUUUGGGAUAGCCACCGGAAACGGUGAUUAAUACCGGAUACGACCACUUCUCGCAUGGGAUGGUGGUGGAAAGUUUUUUCGGCCAGGGAUGUGCUCGCGGCCUAUCAGCUUGAUGGUGAGGUAAUGGCUCACCAUGGCUUCGACGGGUAGCCGGCCUGAGAGGGUGACCGGUCGCACUGGGACUGAGACACGGCCCAGACUCCUACGGGAGGCAGCAGUGGGGAAUAUUGGACAAUGGGCGGAAGCCUGAUCCAGCAACGCCGCGCGAGGGAUGACGGCCUUCGGGUUGUAAACCUCUUUCAGCAGGGACGAAGCGCAAGUGACGGUACCUGCAGAAGAAGCACCGGCCAACUACGUGCCAGCCGCCGCCGUAA
rnacentral:rRNA from 1 species